UCCAGAGUAUCAAUUGGAGGGCAAGUCUGGUGCCAGCAGCCGCGGUAAUUCCAGCUCCAAUAGCGUAUAUUAAAAUUGUUGCAGUUAAAAAGCUCGUAGUUGAAUUUCUGCUGCAUUGCUUUUGCUCCUUUACGAGUCUUUGCAUUGUGGCUUAUUUCGGACUUUGUUUUACAAUGUCCGGAUGUUUACUUUGAGAAAAUUAGAGUGCUCAAAGCAGGCUUUCGCCUUGAAUAGUUUAGCAUGGAAUAAUAAAGUAGGACUUUGGUUCUAUUUUGUUGGUUUUAGGUACCAAAGUAAUGGUUAAUAGGAACAGUUGGGGGCAUUCGUAUUUAACUGUCAGAGGUGAAAUUCUUAGAUUUGUUAAAGACGAACUACUGCGAAAGCAUUUGCCAAGGAUGUUUUCAUUAAUCAAGAACGAAAGU
rnacentral:rRNA from 1 species